rnacentral:lncRNA from 1 species
AGAAAGCUUCUGAAUUUCAAGCAGAAAGUGGAAGGAGCUUCACAGAGCAAUAUCUUGGGCUGCGUGUGCAGAGCGUAGACAAUGAAAAUCUCCGCCCCCUCCCCCAUGCUCUCAAGUCUACAAGAUUUUUUUCUUUCCUUCACAACGAUGGAAGCUAUGUAAAAAUCAAAUACACAGAGAUGUACAAAUUUUUUUUUAAAGCACAGACUAACAAACCGAAGGACCUGACCAUGGAUUAUUCAAGGACUCACCUGCUGGGGAGCGCUCUGGGGUCUCCGCACAAAACCUGCUUUUGAGCCCUUUGGCUUUCUUCAGGCGAGCGCAGUCCGUCCAUCCCCCUGGCCCACCCAGCCGCAAGGGAUGCUGUGAAAAGAGCCGCUGCUUGCCGCCUCCGGCCUGCCGUCCAGAGGGCUCCGCCCGUAGAGGUCAACUCCCCUCACUCUUCUUCUUUCCAUCUUGCCCUCCCUCCGCCGAGCCCAGACUCGGAUCUCCUCCUGACUCCCGCCGCAGUCAGAGAGAGCGCGUCUGCUGCGCUGCCCUUAAAUCUACGCCCAGAGCGGGCUCAGACCCGAUCUCUGCUCUCCAGAGCCGGAGGAAGCCCGAGCAAGCAGCCUUUUCUCUUCGCAGUAAAAUCAUAGCCAGACCAGAUGGGCCCCAGCUCUCCCGGGACUCGGCAGGCUUAUAUGGAGUAAAAUAAUGUAUAAUGCUGUAUGACCUCAGCACCGUGAAUUUGGAAGUUCCAGCAUGUUGUGAAGCAGACACAUCUUUGCUAUGGACACUGUGACUCACUACAUCAGUGCUGGUAGAAUAAAAUGCUUCUAAUGAUGUAGCCGUUAAAUUUUCUAAAAUAAAGAUCAGUUUAUUUUGUGAUGGCACAAUGAAAGAGGUGUUUAAUUUUUUUACUAGAUUUUAAAAUAAAGCUCAUAAAAAUAUUAAGUUAAAAUUUAAAAAAAUAUGAUUUUAUAAUUUGUUUUGUGUGUGUGAGGGGGGGCUAACUCUUGAUUACAUGUUAAAUCAACUUAAAUAUUUAACCAAGCUUGUCAAGUUCCAUAUAAGAUCAGUAUGUUUGUCUUCUGAACCCUGGUUUUGCACAGCAAGCAUUAGCAAUUCUUAAGAGAUUAAAUGAAGAAAAGAAAACUGUUAUGAUUCCUAACAAUAACUGUUA